UUUUACAGAAGUAAUAGAAAUUUCAAAGCAGCUAUUCAACACAACAGUUCAGAGGAGGAAACAGAAAUAUCUAGAAAUAUUGUUUGAGUUUGUCUAGUUCCUCCAUGGUUGUGAGAGGAAAGACAUCAUCCUCGCUGUCCACCAGCAGCACUGGAGCACUGGAACGACUGUUAGCUGCAAGAGACUGGACCACUGAAGACAGAUGAUUGAUCUUCAGGUCCAGUUCGUUAAGUGCCUCCAGAAUUGUCCUCUCAACAGCUGCAACACAUUAGAUGGGUGUUCACCCCAAGCAUCCUCUUGCUCAUUUUCAUUGGACAAGCUCACAGGAACAGCUGGAGUUAAGAAAGGUGAAGUUGGUCUCAGCACAGAAAAUGCAUUCUCUGAUGGAUUUUACAGAAAAUGCUGAAAUACCUAAUGUGAGUGUUCACCCCAAGCAUCUUGUGGCUCAUCUGCCUGGGAGAAGCUCAUGGGAACAUCUGAAGCUGAGAAUGAUGGAACUGGUCAAUUUUGUUUGUUAUUAAGUAAUUUUACAUGACAUUUUCAUUUUAAUGGCUGGUUUUCAUUCAUUAAAGUGUCUUGCAACUUCUGACAUCAGGCAGAAUAAGCACAUGACUAAACAUCUACAGUGUGUGAAUA
ensembl:lncRNA